rnacentral:rRNA from 1 species
GACGGAAGGUGCAAGCGUUGCUCGGAAUCACUGGGCGUAAAGGGUGCGUAGGCGGCUUGGUAGGUCUGGUGUGAAAGCCCCGGGCUCAGCCCGGGAAGGGCACUAGAAACUGCCAAGCUAGAGUGCCGGAGGGGAGAGUGGAAUUCCUGGUGUAGCGGUGAAAUGCGUAGAUAUCAGGAGGAAUACCGGUGGCGAAAGCGACUCUCUGGACGGCAACUGACGCUGAGGCACGAAGGCCAGGGGAGCAAACGGG